rnacentral:pre_miRNA from 1 species
CUCUGCUUUCAGCUUCUUUACAGUGUUGCCUUGUGGCAUGGAGUUCAAGCAGCAUUGUACAGGGCUAUCAAAGCACGG